AGCGAACGCUGGCGGCAGGCUUAACACAUGCAAGUCGAGCGGGCAUAGCAAUAUGUCAGCGGCAGACGGGUGAGUAACGCGUGGGAACGUACCCUUUGGUUCGGAACAACUGAGGGAAACUUCAGCUAAUACCGGAUAAGCCCUUACGGGGAAAGAUUUAUCGCCGAAAGAUCGGCCCGCGUCUGAUUAGCUAGUUGGUGAGGUAAUGGCUCACCAAGGCGACGAUCAGUAGCUGGUCUGAGAGGAUGAUCAGCCACAUUGGGACUGAGACACGGCCCACACUCCUACGGGAGGCAGCAGUGGGGAAUAUUGGACAAUGGGCGCAAGCCUGAUCCAGCCAUGCCGCGUGAGUGAUGAAGGCCCUAGGGUUGUAAAGCUCUUUUGUGCGGGAAGAUAAUGACGGUACCGCAAGAAUAAGCCCCGGCUAACUUCGUG
rnacentral:rRNA from 1 species